rnacentral:rRNA from 1 species
GACGAACGCUGGCGGCGUGCCUAAUACAUGCAAGUCGAGCGAAGCGGCGGGUGGGUGAGUAACGCGUGGGUAACCUGACCUUAAGUCUGGGAUACCAUUUGGAAACAGAUGCUCAUACCGGAUACUAUAGGAUGGACUUGCGAUGAAUUAGCUAGUGGGUAAGGUAACGGCUUACCAAGGCGAUGAUGCAUAGCCGAGUUGAGAGACUGAUCGGCCAAAUUGGGACUGAGACACGGCCCAAACUCCUACGGGAGGCAGCAGUAGGGAAUCUGCCACAAGGGACGAAAGUCUGAUCGAGCAACGCCGCGUGAGUGAAGAAGGUUUUCGGAUCGUAAAGCUCUGUUGUUGGUGAAGCGGUAAUCAACCAGAAAGUCACGGCUAACUACGUGCCAGCCGCCGCGGUAAUUC